GGUGAGUGCGGGCGGCUGGCUGGGCGGGACGGAGCUGCCGGCUGUGGGGCAGCAGUCUGGCAGCUCCUCCAUCUCAAGGACUCUGCUUUUGGCUGGAGCUGGGGCAUGGAGAGGGCCUUUUCCUUUCAUGCUGAUUCAUGCAUUCAAGCCCCAUGCUGGAAGAAAGGAGGGGGUGGAGCUCAGCACUUGGAACAAAGUUCAGACAUGAAGGGGCCGGCAGACUGGGAUGGAAUUUAUACCAUAUGUACCAGGCAUGAGUGGAAUGUUUGGCAUCUUGGCUGGGCCAGAGCAGCCUGUACGGAAGAGUUGGGCCUUACUCUGUGAUCACCGCAGCUUGCACGAUAGCAGCCUUGUGCUCUGCUGCCUGCGCUGCUGGCUAACUAGCACCAGUUCUUCAGUGGCAAGCUUUACGUCCGUCUAGUAGCUAAAGCUGCCAGUUGAAGAACUGUUGAAUGUAGCCACUCUCGUCUUGUCACUUGGGUUGUCUGAUGUCAGCUGGAUGCACGCAUUGGGAGAGCAGGAUGGGGCUGAUGUGCCUCAGUCUCUGAAUCCUGGCACCCUAUAGUUUUAAUAUUGAACCUCAAAAGGAAGCUUUUCCAUAAACCAAGGAGACUGUUGAAAGAUCUGUCAAUCUUCUUCUCUAGUGGCCUGUUCCUCCCUCCUGUGCAUGCCCCUGCCCCUGCCCCUGCCCCAGCAUGCAGAAGCUGGAUGGACAGCAGCCCUGUUGUGCACACCCUUGGAAGGGUAGCGUGGAGCGUGCCCCCUGUGGUACUGCCAAGCACCAUCCCAAGAGGUGCAUACAGGCUGUUCCCCCGAGCACCAUGGACAUUGCUGCUG